UAAACUGAUGCCGGGUGGUUUUGGCGAACAGCUGUUAACUGUUAUUUGUGAGAUCGAAGCUCGCCGGUUUA
rnacentral:tRNA from 1 species